GUGGGGAAUAUUGGGCAAUGGGCGAAAGCCUGACCCAGCAACGCCGCGUGAAGGAAGAAGGUCUUCGGAUCGUAAACUUCUAUCCUUGGUGAAGAUAAUGACGGUAGCCGAGAAGGAAGCCCCGGCUAACUACGUGCCAGCAGCCGCGGUAAUACGUAGGGGGCAAGCGUUGUCCGGAAUGAUUGGGCGUAAAGGGCGCGUAGGCGGCCUGGUAAGUCUGGAGUGAAAGUCCUGCUUUUAAGGUGGGAAUUGCUUUGGAUACUGUCGGGCUUGAGUGCAGGAGAGGUAAGUGGAAUUCCCGGUGUAGCGGUGAAAUGCGUAGAGAUCGGGAGGAACACCAGUGGCGAAGGCGACUUACUGGGCCGUAACUGACGCUGAAGCGCGAAAGCGUGGGGAGCAAACAGGAUUAGAAACCCUAGUAGUCC
rnacentral:rRNA from 1 species